CCAGUUAGCCUUGUGGAUAUGGCUUUGGAUCGUCAUUCCAGAGACGGCGGGUUCGAUUCCCGUUCUGG
rnacentral:tRNA from 1 species